CAGAGGACGAUGAGAUUCAUUACUCCAUCAAACCAGAGCUCUAUGAUUCAGAUCCCAACGUUAAAGAUGAGCUGUGGAUGGCUAAGAAAAGAGAUGGUCGUACUUUGAUGAUGUGCUUAGCUGUCCAGCUUGUUUCACCACUGUAUGCUUAGAGUGUCAAAGGUGAUUUCACAUUUUUAGUUUCAUUAGAAACGAAUUGAAUCUUUGGUUUCUCAGUUCUGUCAUUAGAGAAUUGCAGCAGAGAGGGACCAUUUCAGACAGCAGAGGAGAGUAUCCAUCGAAAGAGCAAUGAACCAAUCAAAAAGUCGUACUUUGCUACAGAAAAUUUGUUUUGGACAGUCGAAUCAACUGUGCUCAGUGACAAAGUUACAGACCUGAAGAGAGCUCUAUGGAGACGACUAUUUCGCUCCCAAAUAGUGUAGAUAAUAUACUGCCAAGCUAGGAGGAGAAACUUCUUUCUAGCUAAGAGGAGACCUUCUUUUUAGCUACGGACGGGCAUUAAGCCAAAUAAUUACAUAUCUAUAUAUUAUCAAUUUUAAUUAAUAUUUAAAAUAUUUAGCUUAUUUUAAAUUAAAAUGAUAUUUAUAUUCAUCAUGCAUGUUUUGUUAUUUUUAUAGAUUAUGUUCAUCUUACUAUUAAAAAAUGUUCAGCAAUACAUAAUAUGUUCAUA